rnacentral:rRNA from 1 species
UGGGGAAUAUUGCGCAAUGGACGAAAGUCUGACGCAGCGACGCCGCGUGUGGGAUGAAGCUCUUCGGGGUGUAAACCACUGUUGCCCGGGAAGAAUCCCCUGAUUCAUCAGGGUUGACGGUACCGGGUGAGGAAGCACCGGCUAACUCUGUGCCAGCAGCCGCGGUAAUACAGAGGGUGCGAGCGUUGUCCGGAAUCACUGGGCGUAAAGGGCGCGUAGGUGGCGGGAUAAGCGUGCGGUGAAAGCCCGGGGCUCAACCCCGGGUCUGCCGUGCGGACUGUCUUGCUCGAGCGUAGUAGAGGCAGGUGGAAUUCCGGGUGUAGCGGUGGAAUGCGUAGAGAUCCGGAAGAACACCGGUGGCGAAGGCGGCCUGCUGGGCUACUGCUGACACUGAGGCGCGACAGCGUGGGGAGCAAACAGGAUUAGAUACCCCUGUAGUCC